rnacentral:tRNA from 1 species
AAGGUUUUAAGUUAAAUAAACUAAUAGCCUUCAAAGCUAUAAAUAUAGAAAAGUCUUUAAACCUUA